GGUGAGACAAAGCAAGAGUGUCUGAUGGUGCCAGAAUACCACCAGGUUCCAGGGGUGCACAGAGGUCACAGAACCUGGAAGUGACAGAUUUCCCCACAAGUAAAGCAUAGGCAUUGGGGUAGACAGGUGACCGCUAGGGUCAUGAUGGUGAUGAGGACAUGGGACACGGGACAUGGUAUCUGGCAAAGCACUAAGCUACUUCUGGCUAUUACUGUAGCCAGGCUGGGUGGCCCUUCACUGUCCCCUGUUCUCAGUGGAGGAAGAAGCACCACAGUGUGUGGUCUGGCCUCCAUUGGGCAUCUCACAGAGGGUAUCUCACAGAGGGCAUCUCACAGAGGGUAUCUCACAGAGGGUAUCUCCCAGAGGGCAUCUCCCAGAGGGCAUCUCACAGAGGGUAUCUCACAGAGGGUAUCUCCCAGAGGGCAUCUCCCAGAGGGCAUCUCCCAGAGGGCAUCUCCCAGAGGGUAUCUCACAGAGGGUAUCUCACAGAGGGCAUCUCACAGAGGGUAUCUCACAGAGGUAAUCUCACAGAGGGUAUCUCACAGAGACAAUGCAGUGUGGGAGGCCAAGGGAUGAGUUUUCCAAAGGAGAAAGUACACUCUAGUCAGAGCCAGAGAUGCUAAUCCCUUCCUUCCCAGGCAGUGGUUCUGAACCUAUGGAUUGUGACCCUUUUAGAGUGGAAUAACCUCCUCACGGGGGUCCCCUAAGACCACUGGAAAGCACAGAUAUUUACAGUUCAGAACAGUAGCAAAAUUACAGUUAUGAAGUAGCAAUGAAAGUAACCUUAUGGUUGUGGUCACCACAGCACGAGGAGCUGUUCUAAAGGGUCACAGCGUUAGGAAGGCUGAGAGCCACUGCUCUAAGGAAAGGCUGAGGCAAAGCUUUUCCUUCAGCCUCACAGGCUUGCUGCACAGACUGUAGGGUGCCUUACACCCAUCGAUGGUGGUGGCACAUCACCUCUCCUCAUGGCCGCUUCCCUGUGGCUUCUGCCUGUCCCGUGUCCACACCCUCUCUCAUCUGAAUUUGCUUCUCCCAAGCAAAGCAUAAACUUGCUCUCUUUCGCUCCAGACUUUCCUUUUAAGAGGAACUGAGCUAAGAUGAACACAUCAUUAAAUACUAAACAAGAAGUGAUUUUUCUUUCUUCACUGUGUGGCUUCAAUGUCUCCUCCAAAGCGUGUGUCCAAAUUUAAGAGCUACUGAGACAGCACUGAGAGAUGGGGUUUUAAGAGAGGAUCCAGGGACGGAAGUGAUGUAAUCCCAUAACGUCCUACUGUUGGGAAUGGAUUAUUGCUGGUACCUUAGGGUGGGUUAGUUACGCCAGGGGUGCAUCUGAAGAAGUUCGGACCCUCUUGAGCUUGCGCGUUUGCCUUUCUUGCUCUGUGAUGGAAAUGAAACCCUCAUCUUCUCAUGUAGUCUGUUAAGGCUUUCCAGACUCUGGAACCAUAAGAAGAAAAUGAACAACUUACCCAGUCAAUAGUAUAUCAUCACAGCAGCAGUCACUCAAAGCAGGCUAGCACACUAGCAUAUCGGUGUUUCACCCUGAAGAAUAAAUCGCCACAGACUCUACACUAUAAAACAGCAGCCUGCGGGCUGUAGGUUCCCUCAUAAUGACCUCACGGUUUCUGUGGGCCUGCAGCCCAGGAACAGCUUGACUGGUUGCUCCAUCUAGGAUCUUACUGGACUGAAUCCAGAUGUGGGCUUCGUCCAGUCCAGAACUUGGGGUCUUUUCUCAGCAAUGUGGUUGGUUGUUGGCAGGAUUCAGUUGCGCUGUGAGGCUGGAUUCUGUUUUCUUGUUGGCUGUCAGCAGGAGGCCGCUCCCAGCUUCAGGAGAAGCCUUGUUAGCUCCUUGACACACAGUCAUCUCAGGGACCUCCCCACAAAUCUGUGAGGAAUCUCAGACAAUGUGGAGUCAUUCUAGGAAUUACCUCCAUCUUAUGAUAUCUAUUCUUGGCUACAGAUCAGCCACAGGUCCUGCCCAUGUGUAGGAGAGAGUUGGGCUGGCAUAGAGCAGUAGGCAGAGACUGUAAGAAUGUUUAGAAUUCCGCCUGCCUGCAAUACUUAUCCUAUUUGCCCAGAGACCCAGAAAACCUCACACACACUCCUGAGGUAUUCACCCAAGAGAAACAAAAAUAUAGCUGCAGAAGAUGUGAAUGCAAAUAGUCUUAGUGGCUUUGCUCAAAAUGGUUCCGAACCAGAAACAGCCUGGACACCCAUCUACCUGUGAGACAACUGAGGACCCGUUCAGCCGUAGAAGCAAACAGACCACUCUGCAGGAGGUAUGGAGCCAAAGGAGUUCUUGCCAGAGCCUGAGCUAUGGUGUUUAGACUUCAGCCUCCCGAACUAUGGGGAAACAGAGGCCCAAGGCAGUGGAAAGAUCGACACCACAAGCAGAGAGGAAUGGAAACCCGGACUUGAAUAAGGGGUGGGUAUCCAAAUCCCUUCCCCCUCCCCUUUUCUUCCCACCAGACAUCCACUAAGUGCCUAUUCUAAGAAUUUUGAAGAGGAAAAGUGCCACUGCCCAAGAGAGGAGUAUAGCAAGGUAGGGCCAGCUGGAUGGCCUCCACCCUAGAAACUUCUCAAGAAUCCAUUUUCCUGGCCUCAGGCUCAAGACUUCAGAAACUUGUUUGCAUUGUGUCCCAGAGUCAGGAAGAUGACAGGGUGCCAAACUGCCUGCACAAACCUCACAGGAGACUGGGCGUGACGCUAGAAGGGAGAGAACAUAUUCUGGCCACCAACACGUGAGCUUCCUCCUUCUGGAGAACUUUCUGCUUUGAGAGGCAGAACCUGGCUCCCAAAGUGAAGACAGAAACGGCAGCUAACCCACAGGCUGGCAUUCUUUGUCUGUGGGGUUAAUCGGAUGCAUCUUCCAAUCCCAGAUUAUGAAGAGAAAGAAGCUGGUGAUGGCCUGCAACAGGGACAUUCACACAGAGAUUCUGCUUACCAGUUGGUACCGGGGACAAUUGCAUCCAGUUUUCAGGGUCAGCAGCCUCAGCAGCAGCACCUGUGGCCUAGAUCUACCAUGAUGUCCAGACGUCUCCUGUACCUAUCCUGUGCUUGGCCUUUUAGGCCACAUGCCUAGUAGCAUGAUUCUGUGGGCCCCUUAAUAGAUUUUAAAUAAAUUCCAUUU